rnacentral:siRNA from 1 species
UUAUGCUACGAACUGAUGAGUC